GCAGCAGUGGGGAAUAUUGCACAAUGGGCGCAAGCCUGAUGCAGCCAUGCCGCGUGUAUGAAGAAGGCCUUCGGGUUGUAAAGUACUUUCAGCGGGGAGGAAGGGAGUAAAGUUAAUACCUUUGCUCAUUGACGUUACCCGCAGAAGAAGCACCGGCUAACUCCGUGCCAGCAGCCGCGGUAAUACGGAGGGUGCAAGCGUUAAUCGGAAUUACUGGGCGUAAAGCGCACGCAGGCGGUUUGUUAAGUCAGAUGUGAAAUCCCCGGGCUCAACCUGGGAACUGCAUCUGAUACUGGCAAGCUUGAGUCUCGUAGAGGGGGGUAGAAUUCCAGGUGUAGCGGUGAAAUGCGUAGAGAUCUGGAGGAAUACCGGUGGCGAAGGCGGCCCCCUGGACGAAGACUGACGCUCAGGUGCGAAAGCGUGGGGAGC
rnacentral:rRNA from 1 species